rnacentral:rRNA from 1 species
AUGCAGGAAGAUCUCAUUGGGCAAGAACUCGACGGAGACGUCAAACACGGUGCUCCGAGGAAGCCCAUCUGCGACCUCUCUGACCCUAGGUACGACAUCUGCGACAUCACCGGAGACGCCCGUGCCAUCAGCGCCAACCGUACCGUCCUCUAUGUCCCGCCUGUGGAGCAGCGCGGCAUCGACGGCCCGGAAUGGGCCAUCAAGGACCAGUCCCGCAAGAAUCUGGGGGACAUCAUCGAGGUGAAUGUCAAGACCCUAAGCGCCGCGCAGUCACUGGUGGCGCCGGAGUGCACCUCAAGGCACGCAGUCCCGGCCGCCGUGUUUGCCAUGAACGUCAUCAUCGGCAACCCAUGGCAUGACUUGAGCAACGUCCUGAUCCCGCUCUUCAUCACCACCCGCGCCUACGACGGCGAGGUCCAGUUCCUUGUCACCGAGCUCCAGCCGUGGUUCGUGGACAAGUAUCGUCUCAUCCUCACCAACCUACUGUCAUGCUGCGACAUUGUCGACUUCAACAAGGACGCCGGCGUCCGUUGCUACCCGCACAUCAUAGUCGGCCUCCGCAGCCAUGGUGACCUCUACAUCGACCCAACCCGCACGUCGCACAACUACACAUUGCUAGAUUUUUGCCUCUACAUCCGGGAGGUCUUCUCGCUUCCGCCGGAGAGCCGAGGAACCCCGUACAAGGAGGCCAGUAAGAAGAACGCAGCCAACGAAAAUGGCACUGUCACGGAGAAACCAAAGCCGCGGCUCUUGCUCAUCAAUCGCGGCGAGAGCAGGAAGUUCGUCAACCUUCCGGAGGUCUCUGCGGCGGUGCAGGCAGCCGGGUUCGAGCUGCUGGUCAUGGAGCCGACCCGUGACAUGGGGAUGGAGGAGUUCGCCCGGGCGGUGGACUCGUGCGACGUGCUGAUGGGUGUGCACGGGGCCGCGCUCACAAACUUCUUCUUCCUGCGCACCAACGCGGUGCUGCUGCAGGUGGUGGGGUCGGGCCUCGAGCGCGAGGCCUUGCAUUACUACGGCAAUCAGGCCAAGGCGGUGAUGGUGCAACACAUCCAGUACUUCAUCAGCGCCGAGGAGAGCACGCUCUACGAAAAGUACGGCAAGGACCACCCGGCGGUAAGUGACCCGGACUCGGUACACAAGCAGGGUUGGCAAGGUGCAAAGCGGUACUUCUGGGCGGAGCAGGACAUCAGACUCAACCUCACCAGAUUUGCCCCCACGCUGCAUCAGCUGCUUCGAGCACUUCGGGAGUAG